GUGCAGCAGUCGAGAAUCUUCCACAAUGGGGGAAACCCUGAUGGAGCGACGCCGCGUGCGGGAUGAAGGCCCUAUGGGUUGUAAACCGCUGUUCAGUGGAAAAGAACAUCCUCCGGCUGAAUAGGUCGGAGGCCUGACGUUACCACUGCAGAAAGUCCCGGCCAACUCCGUGCCAGCAGCCGCGGUAAGUACGGGGGGACGAGCGUUGUCCGGAAUCAUUGGGCGUAAAGGGCGCGUAGGCGGCGAGGAAAGUCGAAUGUGAAAUCUUGCGGCUCAACUGACAAAACUGCGUUCGAAAACUUCCUCGCUUGAGUAUGAGAGAGGUGUGCGGAAUUCCUGGUGUAGCGGUGGAAUGCGUAGAUAUCAGGAGGAACGA
rnacentral:rRNA from 1 species